UCUGCGGAAGUAGUUCAGUGGUAGAACACCACCUUGCCAAGGUGGGGGUCGCGGGUUCGAAUCCNNUGCGGAA
rnacentral:tRNA from 1 species